rnacentral:lncRNA from 1 species
CAGCCAGAAAGCGCUCGGAACCUGUCUGAACUCAAACACCCUGCUCUCUCCCGGAUCUAGGCCGAGCGGGGCCGUGGUCCCGUCCUCGCUUUUCCCUGGGCUCAAGAAUGCCUGGAGGAGAGGCCUGGGGGCCGCGGGUGAGAGCAAGGGUUGUAGCACCUUCGAGAGUGUGGGGCGGAUUCAGCCCACAGUAGUAGCGACAGGAUUUCACCAUAUUGGCUCGGAUGGUCUCAAACUAAGACAGAGAAAAAGAGAAAACAACAACAAAAAUGAAGCAAGAGUAAACUGCCAACUCCAACUGCCUUUCUGGAAGGCCUAAUUUGAAGAUGUCUGAAAUUCUGUAUCACUGGCUCCCAGACAUAUCAUGUUUAUUUGUACAUCACACCUUUGCCCACCUCUGCUCAGUGGACCUCCAGCCUAAAAUGCCUCCCUUGUUCCUCUGUCUCACUUCAGCUGUUAUUGAAGUCUCCUGGUACAAUGUGACAUUUCCAGCGUCUUGUUUUCCAAUCAGAUCAGUGGCUCUCAGUGGACCAACUGAUAAGGAACAUUUGGAAAAUGUUACGAUGAUUGAGGGCUGUACUGGUAUUUGGUGGGCAGGGAAUGACAAUGUCCUGUGAUGUAUCCAUCAUAAUGGAAAAUUAUCUGAUGUCUUGGGCAAAUAACAGCAGUCCUGCCAGACAAAAUGAAGGUGAAAAAUUCAUUUAUAAUUGCCUAAGUUCAGAGCUUCUCUCUGUUUUACAUACAAGUACAAGAAAUGUUUGGCACAGUUUUAAUGUAUACUGAAUUAUAGGAAUCCAAUUACAAUAUAUUUUGCUUAACAUAG